rnacentral:rRNA from 1 species
AGACGGGGGGGGCGAGCGUUGUUCGGAAUUACUGGGCGUAAAGGGCGCGCAGGCGGCUUGGGAAGUCUUGGGUGAAAGCCCCCAGCUCAACUGGGGAAUGGCCUGAGAAACCACUAGGCUGGAGUGCUGGAGAGGGAAGCGGAAUUCCCGGUGGAGCGGUGAAAUGCGUAGAUAUCAGGAGGAACACCAGAGGCGAAGGCGGCUUCCUGGACAGACACUGACGCUGAGGCGCGAAAGCUAGGGGAGCAAACGGGAUUAGAUACCCCAGUAGUCC